rnacentral:misc_RNA from 1 species
GUGUCCCUUUCCAAAAACAUCUGGCCUGUCUCCCCCCACCCAUCGCCGCCCCCCUCCCUCCCCAACAGCCUUCCACAGUCCCCGUCCUUGCACUCAGGCCUGUGCCUAUAGGAGGGAGGCCCAGGAGGGGACCUCCUGCGCUGAAGCCAGGCCACUUUGCAGCGACUCCCUGCUCUGUGGCCACGUGGCAAUUUGGGGGUGGGCCGUAUUUUGAAAGUGCCCUCUGCAGACCCCAGCUCCCUGGGCCCCCCGGGAAAGAUUUCAAGUCCCGGAGGAGGGGCUCUGCUCCCCUUGGCCCUGCUCUGGGUUCCCCAUGUCCCCUCAGGCCUGCGUCCCCGGGCUGGGGGUGGGCUGUCCCCUUCGCUGGGGCUGCCUGGGGGCAUUGGUGCCAGUGGCCCUUUGGGGAGCCUCACCCCUGCUUUCUGCCCUGAGCAGGCACCAACCCUGGAGAAGCUUCUGCUGGUGCUUGGACAUGCGCCUGGACCUUGGAGGGCUCUGCUGCCUGGGUGAGGACCCUGUUCCCACCCUGGCUGGAAACAAGGGACCCCGGCCCCCCGCCGGACACGGGGACUCCGACGGCACAAGACACCCACGCCAUGUGAUCGAUAAACCAGAAGUCAGUCGGAA